rnacentral:rRNA from 1 species
AACCCUUUGUGAACUUAUACCUUACUGUUGCCUCGGCGCAGGCCGGCCUCACUGAGGCCCCUCGGAAACGAGGAGCAGCCCGCCGGCGGCCAACCAAACUCUUGUUUCUUAGUGAAUCUCUGAGUAAAAAACAUAAAUGAAUCAAAACUUUCAACAACGGAUCUCUUGGUUCUGGCAUCGAUGAAGAACGCAGCGAAAUGCGAUAAGUAAUGUGAAUUGCAGAAUUCAGUGAAUCAUCGAAUCUUUGAACGCACAUUGCGCCCUCUGGUAUUCCGGAGGGCAUGCCUGUUCGAGCGUCAUUUCAACCCUCAAGCAUUGCUUGGUGUUGGGGCACCGCCUGUAAAAGGGCGGGCCCUGAAAUCUAGUGGCGAGCUCGCCAGGACCCCGAGCGUAGUAAUUAUAUUUCGUUCUGGAAGGCCCUGGCGGUGCCCUGCCGUUAAACCCCCAACUUCUGAAAAUUUGACCUCGGAUCAGGUAGGAAUACCCGCUGAACUUAAGCAUAUCAA